UCGGCUACUUCAAUUGGAAACUUGUGAUCAAAAUUGUAUCACAGAAGUGACAAAGCCAACUAUGUGAGAAAUCUGAAACAGAAUUUGCAAAAUUGAACUGGGUUACAGAGAGUAAAUAAGACUCCAAAGGAACAUGGCAAUUAUUAUUAUCUAGGAAACAAUUCGUAGCUAAAACAAAAUUAACUAUACUUGCCAGGAAAAUUGGAAUAUACGACAUUGUAUCACAUAUAGUAUUUAGACAUCAAGAAGAGAAUCCCUCUAUCAGUGAACUAUACUUGCCAGGAAAUUAACACCAGACGAGUACCAACACCUACUAUUUCUUAGGUGUCUUAGAGUUUGAUGAGGACUUCCAUGCUGUCUCUUCGACAGGCAGCAAAGUUGGGCAAUUGACUACAUUAACUCCAACAAAUUUAUGCAGUCACUUUCCUCCGGACCAUCCUCUUUCUUCGCGCUUUAGUUGCCCUUAUUUACCCCUUAAAAGAGUCAACAUUAUCUUGUUUGACGCCAAGGAGACCAAGCCCAGAAACAAUGGCAUUCUUUGAUAUCAACCACCUGGGGACUUUUGAGCUAAGCCAUGACAUCCUGAGAUGGCCUGUUGUGUAAGCCUUCUUCAAAAGGUCAUCCGUUAAUCUUUCUCUUAAUUAGACAUUCAAAACCCUGCAUGGAAUCGAUUUGAGAAGUUGGACAAUAGACAAACUCCAACACAUAUAGACAGUAAAGAAGAAUUUAGACCGCAAUCACUGUGGCUCAACAAAUGGGCCUAUUAAGCCUAUUAAAAGUUGGAACCAUAUUCACCACUCGCAUUUCCUCUAGAGAGCUAUGUCAGAAUUCUGUAAAUUUAAAACUAUUCUUACAUAAUUAACUGUAAAACAAGAGAAAUUGUACUUCCGUAAGCAAAGUCUCACUAUUGGUAAGUAUCUGGACUUGGAAAGGAUGCUAGUUGAUUCAGUAAAGGAAAAUUGACAUCAAACUUUGAUGUGAUAGAAGAUAGAUAUAUACACUUCAAUAGGAACCACAUUAACAUCUUAUGAGACAAACAAACAAAUUCCCCAGUCAAAGUUCAACAAACAAAACAUUAAAGCAAGAGUAAUUUGGUCUAUCAAUGUAUACAUAGAGAUGUCGAUCAAUAGACAAAUACGUAAAAGGGGGAGGGAGAGACCUCAAAGUCGUGCUACUCCAAUAACUUCAAAAUUGUUGGUGACCGCUCUAUCAAAUCCACGCAAUAGUUGCGUACACUCACCGAUGGGUUUGUCACAGAUAACCUGUCAGACAUUAAAAAUUGCCCAAAUUAAAUGUUAGACCAGCUUAGACAGUAAACGGAACAAUAUUCUAAUUUUACUUUACUUAUAACGAAUAAGUGAACAAAGGAAUAAAAAGGAAGUUUGGCAAAGAAUCCCGCAGCUAAUCCCACCAGACACCGCUCUGCAGGCUUAUUCGGGAGUCAAAAUUCUCAAAAUGUACUAAGAAAUGACAUUUGUUUACUAAUCCCACCAACAAGGAGGAAGUGACGUGAAGAGAAUUUACUAAGAAAUGCCAGUGUAUUAAUAUUGAAGGAAAACAUUCACUGACGACCAAAAUCGCUGAUAUAUGCUUAAUUUCUCACUCACUAAGAACGUUCAAUUCAUUCAAAUGAAACUUCCACAGGAAGGUCUCAUUAUUAAGGCUUUAGCUUCACCUCACAUGCUCAAUAAUUCAAAUUUGAGGAUGAUAUUUCUCCAAAUGGAGGGCUCUAUUUGGCUUGCCAACAAUCUUACUCACAACUAUCAUCCUUGCUAUAUCGGUUGCACUGAGCAAUCUUCAUUCUGACAUUUGCCCUAUUAACCUGAGUACACAAGAAUCCGAAACAACUGUUAGAAAUUUUAAUCUUUAUAUAUAGCCAAAAUGGUGAAUAAGAUGAUGUACUGAUAAUAAAUACCUGAGUUAAUAAAUAAUUAAGGGGCCGGUAACAAUCUCAGCAUCUUAUCAAGUGGGGAAAGCCUUCGCAACGAAGAUGCUGCUUGCUUUCAAGCAAAUAACUUUCCAAUUCCAUAAGAUAGCUUAAUGCCCUUUUAAGAAUAUCUCCACCAGCCUAACAAUUAUUCAUGGAAAUCCAAUUUGCAUUUGUCGCCUUCAAUUUGCUCAUCUUUGUCUAGAGUAUUGUUUUUGCAUUAACUUAGCUAGCUUGCAAACCACCUGCAGAUGGUUUUAAAUAAUGUGUGAGAGUGUGAAUUCAAACGAAUUAAUUAAAUAUGAUGACAGGAGAAACAAAAUUAAAAUAACCACAAGAAGUAGAAAUAUACUUUUGUUAUAUUCAGAGUAUCUCCUACUGUCUUCAUUUCCCUUAGCUCUGUUUCCUUUUGUGUUCGAAUGCAAUGCCUCAAGGCUCAAGAUAAUUUGAUGACCAUCAAUCUUUUUGCAGCCACAUGUAGACUUGAAAAACUGUUGGCGGCCCUAAAGAACUUGAAAAUUAGAAAAGAUUCAGAAUGAGUGACUAAAUAUAAUAAUCGAAACUAAUUAAACAAACGCGCCUUGAAAAUCUGAAACUGAAUUACUCAAAUGUAUAUGCUGUAAGAAACCAAACAGUGAGAUAACAAAUUAUAUGUUAGCUAAUUUAAACAAUAGUGUAAACUAGCAAUCGGAAACAAUAAAUGAAGAACAGAAGAAGAAGAAACCGAAUUGAAAUAAAUAAAUAAAAAAGAACCCGAGGCCUGCACAAAAACAGUCUCCUUAAAACAGAUUUACCACCUAUUCGGAGUGCUUAAGGUCUAAUGGUAUCUGUUUCCCAGGAUGCAACGGGUACGAACUUCCAGUCAAGCACAAGCUGGAAAUUCCGGCGAACCACAAUAGUGAACUCGAUCAGAGAAAGACGAAGAAGAAUGAAGGGAAAACAAGUGUGCUUUGUGCUCGUUUUUUGCAAGUGGAAAAAACAGAAGUGAAGGUGUCUUUUUAUACUCAAGGGAGGAUGUAACAGCUUUUGUAUUGAAUUUUCGAAUUCAAUACAUUUUAAUUUAAUUGUUAUGACAGCCAAAUCAAUUUAACGAAUUGAUUUCAAAAUUGAAUUUAAAAAAAACGUGAAUAACAGCUAAAAAUAAUUGUAAAAGCUAAUUUGGCUGUUACAAUAAAUUGUGCCUGUUACAAAAUUGAAUUUAAAAAAAACGUGAACUGUUACAAUAAAAAAUUCAAAAGGAAUUAAAAAACGUGCCUAGCUUGCUUGAUUUUGGGCUGACGUUCGUGUACGCAGGCGCACACGAGUUCAACCCCAAAUUGGGCUUUGAUUCGCACCCCCCCCUGCGCACGCUUGUGUGGAGAGAACCUCUAUCUUUAUAAUUCUUACUCAUGCAUGGUUAAGUGUUUAUAUUUAAACACUUAUUCCUAGGCUUCUUUUUCCCAUGUGGGAUAAGACUCAUUUCCUUUCAAAUUUUCAACUUCAAGGGUGAACUUUGAGAGACAAUUUCUCAUUCACCCAAGCACCAUUUUGAGAAAAUAAAAUUAUACUAUUGAAGUAUCAACGGAGUAGAAUCCGAACCUCACAAUAUUUUUCACUUUCGUUAAGUGGGACCCACUCAAAAUGUGCUCUCAAAUUAGCAUGUUAUGCUAUUUUUUCCAAC
rnacentral:lncRNA from 1 species